rnacentral:rRNA from 4 species
UUGAAAUACCACCCUUUAAUGUUUGAUGUUCUAACGUGGACCCGUGAUCCGGGUUGCGGACAGUGUCUGGUGGGUAGUUUGACUGGGGCGGUCUCCUCCUAAAGAGUAACGGAGGAGCACGAAGGUUGGCUAAUCCUGGUCGGACAUCAGGAGGUUAGUGCAAUGGCAUAAGCCAGCUUGACUGCGAGCGUGACGGCGCGAGCAGGUGCGAAAGCAGGUCAUAGUGAUCCGGUGGUUCUGAAUGGAAGGGCCAUCGCUCAACGGAUAAAAGGUACUCCGGGGAUAACAGGCUGAUACCGCCCAAGAGUUCAUAUCGACGGCGGUGUUUGGCACCUCGAUGUCGGCUCAUCACAUCCUGGGGCUGAAGUAGGUCCCAAGGGUAUGGCUGUUCGCCAUUUAAAGUGGUACGCGAGCUGGGUUUAGAACGUCGUGAGACAGUUCGGUCCCUAUCUGCCGUGGGCGCUGGAGAACUGAGGGGGGCUGCUCCUAGUACGAGAGGACCGGAGUGGACGCAUCACUGGUGUUCGGGUUGUCAUGCCAAUGGCACUGCCCGGUAGCUAAAUGCGGAAGAGAUAAGUGCUGAAAGCAUCUAAGCACGAAACUUGCCCCGA